rnacentral:lncRNA from 12 species
GGCAAGCAGUAUUCAAACUACGUGUUUUUUUUUUUCUCAUAUUUCUCAUGACCCAGGGAAGAAAUAGCCUACAAAUUCUCAUCAACAAUACCUAGUACAUUGACUUUGUAUCUCAAUACCUUCACUACUCAGGAUAAUUUCUGAAUGAAAAUACAUGAGUUUUAGUUAAAUGGCUAGCUACCUAGCUGUUUUUUAGCAUGAGGAAAAGGGGUAAAUCUAUAGAGUGUACAUCAAGUCUGGAGAUGUAGAAAAGUAUGCAGACUACAAUGAAGGACAUCUUCACUCUGUAGAUUGAUAAAAUAAUGCCAUCUGUGUAUCCAGACUUGAUGCAUACUGAUAUAGAACAAUCUCUAAGAUGUAUCAUUAAUCAGGGGGAAAGAAAAUUACAAAAUGAUUAUGUGCCAUUAUGCUAUUACAUUUGUAGAACAGUCAAAUACACAUGUAUACCCAUAUAGAAUGAACUCAUGAUAGAUUUAUAUGGUGGUAGAAAUGAGAGAGGGGAUUGAAGUCAGAUCAUUUUAAAUGUGUGUUUGUAAUUUUUUUCAGUGUGAAAAUGGGUACGGAGCACCACUUCAGAUCAGUAACAAAUCAUUUGCAAACACUUCACACCUGGUCCUGUUGCUCCAGUCGCUGUUGCUGACCAGGGAUCCUAUGAAAGAGGCUACCUUUGAGGAGAAGAAUAAGAGGAGGAAGUAGGGCUUGCCAAACAGGAGGUCACUACUAGUUGUUUUAAUUCUUGAAGUGCUAUUCCAGAAGAAAUGAGCCAAAAUUGGAGAAUCAGGAGAAUAGUGUAGAAGUCUAGGAGUAAAAUUCCAGAAUGCAUCCUUACACAGUUAAGCAGAGGCAGGAAGAAGCAGCAAAAAGGGAAACGCAGCAUAGUGUACACAAUGAAGAAAAUCUUCAAUCCUGUAUACUGCCCUGUGUGCUUUAGAAACAGAGGGUGGGAUGAUAAAGGCGCUAUCCAUUCAUUUGGCAAUCCCGUGAAGAGCUUCUACGUCAGUGCUUCUUCAGAUUUGCCCACCAGAAGUCUGCUGUUUAUAAACUAACACCCAUGGGACAUUGCAAAAGAACUACAGGAGUCCAGAAUGGCCUGAGCAUCCCUUCCCUAAUGACUGAGGUAAGCAGGGUGGAAAGCGGAGCAGAGAGCUGAACAGCUGUGAAAGGUUAGAGCCAAGGUUCAUUAGAGCUUAACUGAAAAAAGGCAAACUAACCUUAUUUAAAAAAACAAAAACAAAACAAAAUAAAGCUAGCAUGCAAAAUAGAAAACCA